rnacentral:rRNA from 1 species
GAUGAACGCUAGCUACAGGCUUAACACAUGCAAGUCGCGGGGCAGCAUGGGGGUUGCUUGCAAUCCCCGAUGGCGACCGGCGCACGGGUGAGUAACGCGUAUUCAACCUGCCCUUCACCACGGGAUAACCCGGCGAAAGUCGGACUAAUACCGUAUGUUGUCCAUUGACGGCAUCCGAUUUGGACGAAAGGCUUGGCGGUGAGGGAUGGGGAUGCGUCCGAUUAGCCAGACGGCGGGGUAACGGCCCACCGUGGCUACGAUCGGUAGGGGUUCUGAGAGGAAGGUCCCCCACACUGGAACUGAGACACGGUCCAGACUCCUACGGGAGGCAGCAGUGAGGAAUAUUGGUCAAUGGGCGUAAGCCUGAACCAGCCAAGUAGCGUGCAGGAUGACGGCCCUAUGGGUUGUAAACUGCUUUUAUGCGGGGAUAAAGUGGCCCACGUGUGGGCUUUUGCAGGUACCGAAUGAAUAAGGACCGGCUAAUUCCGUG